rnacentral:rRNA from 1 species
UACAGAGGUCUCAAGCGUUGUUCGGAUUCAUUGGGCGUAAAGGGUGCUUCGGCUGCGCGGUCAGUCGGAUGUGAAAUCUCGGAGCUUAACUUCGAAACUGCAUUCGAUACUGCCGUGCUUGAGGACUGGAGAGGAGACUGGAAUUUACGGUGUAGCGGUGAAAUGCGUAGAUAUCGUAAGGAAGACCAGUGGCGAAGGCGGGUCUCUGGACAGUUCCUGACGCUGAGGCACGAAGGUCAGGGGAGCAAACGGG